rnacentral:rRNA from 1 species
GUCUAUGGCCAUGCUACCCUGAACACGCCCGAUCCUGUCUGAUCUCGGAAGCUAAGCAGGGUCGGGCCUGGUUAGUACUUGGGAGAAAGACCACCUAGGAAGAUCAGGUGCUGUAGGCA